GAGCAAAGGUCCCAGUAGAGAGGUAAAGAUUCUGAAUUGAGGCCUCUCGAACUAGAAUACAAACCCUUCGUCGAUUAAUUAGCCGAAUCGUAGGAUACCCAGAAUGAAUUUUCCAUUUUUGUGGCAUCUGGAACCCUUGGUUAUAUUUAU